AACGAACGCUGGCGGCAUGCCUAACACAUGCCAGUCGAACGAGACCUUCGGGUCUAGUGGCGCACGGGUGCGUAACGCGUGGGAACCUGCCCUUAGGUUCGGAAUAACUCCCCGAAAGGGGUGCUAAUACCGGAUAAUGUCUUCGGACCAAAGAUUUAUCGCCUUUGGAUGGGCCCGCGUUGGAUUAGCUAGUUGGUAGGGUAAAAGCCUACCAAGGCGACGAUCCAUAGCUGGUCUGAGAGGAUGAUCAGCCACACUGGGACUGAGAUACGGCCCAGACUCCUACGGGAGGCAGCAGUGGGGAAUAUUGGACAAUGGGCGAAAGCCUGAUCCAGCAAUGCCGCGUGAGUGAUGAAGGCCUUAGGGUUGUAAAGCUCUUUUACCCGGGAUGAUAAUGACAGUACCGGGAGAAUAAGCGCCGGCUAACUCCGUG
rnacentral:rRNA from 1 species